GACAGAGGAGCCAAGCGUUGUCCGGAUUGACUGGGCGUAAAGCGCACGCAGGCGGUCGCGCGCGUGGGGUGUGAAAUCUGGCCGCUUAACGGCCAGGCGCCAUCCCAUACGGCGCGACUGGAGCCAUGCAGAGGGCGGUGGAAUUGCCGGUGUAGUGGUGAAAUGCGUAGAGAUCGGCAGGAACACCCAGGGGGGAAACCAGCCGCCUGGGCAUGGGCUGACGCUGAGGUGCGAGAGCGUGGGGAGCGAACCGG
rnacentral:rRNA from 1 species